CCGCAGCAGCCUCUGUGACUUUCCCACGGAGAGCAAGGAGUGGAGCUUGGUAUCUUGAACCUUUUUUUUUUUUCUAAAAAGGUUUUUCUUUUCCGUGCCCAGAUGUCAAAUUACCCAAAGAACAAUUCUCUGAGCAGGCAUUGUUGGGAAAGAGAUCGUCCUUGCAGGGUGGGGCGCGUCCAGCCGACGGUGGGUGGAGCUGGGACCGUCUUGGGCAGGCGCACAGGGGGCUUCAGUGAGGAGCCAGCUGAGCAUGCAGGGCAGGCUGCCUGAAUUAAGGGAAAGGCUCCGGCUGAACGAGUCAGCUGGCGUGUGUGUGGAACACGCUUUCUGUGAUCCUCUUCCUCAGAUUAUAGAUGAUUAUCAUGCCAGUCUUGGGGCUGGUGGGUAGGAAAUUCGAUUAGGAAAAUAGGCGUGUCUGACUGAAGCAACCGAAUGGAAUGAAAGAGCUCCACCUGGAGGCCGUGCCUGGAGGUGGCGGCGAGAAUGUGGAGUCCCGGAGAGACCUGGGGCCGGAAGAGGCGAGGAUGCUUCACCUGAGACUCAGCUGACACGUCAAAGACAUUAUGAGGAAGAAGAUGAAACUCAAAGGACAACUGAUGGCUGGACGUGGCGGGGAGGGGCCUCUGCCCUUGGAGCCUCCAGAGUUGAAGAUGCCCCCGCUGCUAGCACAGCCCCUUCGUCGAGUCUCCAGCAGCACCCUCCAUGCUGUUUACAAAGUGGCGUCGAAGUCUGGGGCUGUGGUGGUGAGUCCUGCCAGAGCUGACGAGGACACAGCGUUUGUGGGAAUUCUGUGACUCUGAGAGGCGAAAGAUCCUGGUUACAUGAAUACUUAACAUCAUCUCGCCAAACUAGUGAUUUUAAAUGCUAAAUGAAAAAGGCGAAGGCUUUUACUGGAUGACUGCGACAGCCAGAAGGAAGCUGAAAGGGAAGUACCAUCCCCGGGACCAGAGGACAAGGGUCCUGGGAGCAAGAGAUCCUGUCUUGAAGGCAAAACAGCUUGCUGGGUGCCAUCAUUCUGGGUUGUUUAAGCCAGGGAUCCUGACUUUGGUUUGUUUCCACCCGGAAUCCCAGCCGGGACUCUCCUCUCCAUCCUCACAUCUUGUCCACACAUCAGUGCUCUGGUGGCCAGCGAUCUUCCUGUUUGACAGCUGCUGGUGGUGUGUUAGACACUCCUUUGAACUCUGCAGAUGACCUCCAGGCAUUCAAACCCUUGGGGGAUUUGCAGAUCCUAAGUAUGGUUGGCACCAGGCUAAGAGGUCUCAUCCAGGUGAUGGAUGAGAGGCUCAAGGCUGGAGAUGAAUUCCAUAAGCUGAAAGACAGCCUCAGAUCAAUAAGAGAGGAUGCCCGAGGAACCACGCAAAGCAUCGCAAUUUAGAUCCGGUGUCAGUUACAUGAGUAUUGAAAGGUGAAACCCACAACAUAGCAGUGUGUGUAAAAACAAACCAGAAUCAUCUGGCUUUACGGUCAGUUUUAUAGGCAACAAAACUGAAUCUAUCUUAAACAGUGAAUAUAGUUGUAGUAGGAGCUAUUAAGUGUAUUGCAAGCACACUAAUCCUUUAUCAUAUUCUUAACAAGGGAAAGGAUAGUGUAGGACUGGACAUAAGUUUUUCUUCUUUUUAAGAAGUGUAACUGUUGGCUGACCAAGAAUACAGAAUCCAGUAGGCUGUGCACAGCAAUUUUAUUUGUUUGUAUUUCAAUUUAACUACAAGCUCAAGUUCUCUGUUACAAUUUAUAUAGGGUCCACCUUGGCAAUUGUGAGUGGCUCCCAUGCUGUGUCCAUGUGGUCCCACAUGCCCGUGUGUUUUGAAUCCUAUGCAGGAUCACCAGUUGACCCUCAGGAGGUCUGUGCAGAGCCCCCACUUUCAAAGAGGGAUACUUCCUUCCAAAAAGGCCAGUCUUCUGAACCUCACACACCACACGUCCAUCCACUCCUUCACUGAACAUCUACAACGUGCCACAUACUACUCCAGGAACUAGGGGGAUUUACCUGUGAACCAGCCGAGGCCUUUCUCCUCAUCAAGCUAAAGUUGUCAGGGAGGUCGGGAUGGAAAAUUUCAACAAAACUGUCAGACAAGCAGGUAGGAAAAGUCACCGGGUACCUGAGACGCCUUCUGUGCAGACUGUUCCCUCUGCUUCCCAAGGCAGCUCAGGUUCCACUUUCCCCUUGGAGGCAGACAGCCCCUGUGAGCCUUGUAGAACAUCAUUUAGCACUGGCUGCUCUCUAAUUGUUUUCCUAAUGCUAAUUUGAUCUCCCCAGCUGACUCCUGGAAAUCGUUGGCUGCUGGGAUCUGCCUUCACCUGAAACACAUUCAGUCAGGCUCCAGCUAGGAUCCUUCUUUACAGGGAACUGCAAAGCACAGUUCAAACAGGACUUGAAGUUUUAAGCUGAUGGCCAGAUAGCAAGAGAACUUCCACCAGUGCCUUGCCUCACCAACGCCCCCCUUCAACUCCCAAUAAGAAUGUCAAGUUAGGACAAUAGUUUGUUUAUUUGUUGAACUUACAUCCUCCAAAGAGUCCAAGCCUCUGUAAGGAGAUCUUUAAAACAACAAACAUACCUUAAACGGAGUAGGAGCCAGAUUAGAGGGGGCAGCGGGAGGGAGACGUCCAGCUCAAAGAUGGGGGAAGGCAGGAACAGACAAUGGCCAAGUCAGAAGGAUACCGAGUCUAAAAUUUAGCUCA